AGUAAUUGUGAUCGAAUCUGAAAGAGAAUAAGUUGACAAAAGGACGGUCUAGGAUUUGAGUGGAAGUCUAUAAAACGACUACAACUCUAUGGAUUAAUCAGUGAAAUGUCAAAAUUAUUUGACAACAACAAAACGCAUUUACGUAUAUUUUUACACUUAAGAUAUUUUAUUUCAUUAAAAUAUAAAUAUUCUUUGGCUUAGAAUUUACAAAAAAUGGCUUUAAAUAAAACCUUUAAAAGAAUUAAAAUGAUAUGAACUAAAAAUAUCACAGUCAACUACACCAGGCUACAUAACCUCUUUUGUGCAAUGUUUUUGUUAAUUAAGUAAAUCUCCAACAACGAUAUUAUACGGAUGGGGUGGAGAAAUAUAAGAAAUAAAACCGUACCUUAAAAAUCCAGGCAAAACCACCACAGGAUACCGAAAAUACACCUCCAAACAAACAACACCCGCCGUUGAUGAAAUAACCAGAGGACGUUAUUGUUGCAAGAUUUCCAGUUUCUCCACGAUAGUAUAAUUAUCGAUGUAAUAUUAAAACGUGCUCGCGUUGCGGGCACGAACGUGUAUAUUAUUAUUUUUUUAAUAAAUUUUCUAUUUGAUGUGUACCCUUCAAUGGUGAUUUGUUCAAGAGACCUAAUUUUUAAAUUGUUUUUGGCUUUUUUGCUCGGUUUUGUAUUCAUACGCGAACUACGUUGUUUUCGUUUGUUAAAUUUUAAUAAUUGUUGCGCACGGUGGCUAUUCACACGUUAGCGUGUACUAACGUCCGUUCACACGCUAGCGUGAUUUUAAUUCAACUUUUUUU